GACGAACGCUGGCGGCGUGCUUAACACAUGCAAGUCGAACGGGAUCCAUGUUGUAGCAAUACUUCGGAAGAUCUAGUGGCGAACGGGUGAGGAACACGUGAGAAACCUGCACCGAACUUCGGGAUAACAGUUGGAAACGACUGCUAAUACCGAAUACCUCUGCGAAGUGGCAUCACUUUGCAAAGAAAGAAUUUCGGUUCGGGAGGGUCUCGCGGCCUAUCAGCUAGUUGGUGGGGUAACGGCCUACCAAGGCAUCGACGGGUAGCUGGUCUGAGAGGAUGAUCAGCCACACUGGGACUGAGACACGGCCCAGACUCCUACGGGAGGCAGCAGUGGGGAAUCUUGUGCAAUGGGCGAAAGCCUGACACAGCAACGCCGCGUGCGGGAAGAAGGCCUUCGGGUCGUAAACCGCUUUCAGCAGGAACGAAAAUGACGGUACCUGCAGAAGAAGGUGCGGCCAACUACGUGCCAGCCGCCGCGGUAA
rnacentral:rRNA from 1 species